CCUACGGGAGGCAGCAGUGAGGAAUAUUGGUCAAUGGACGAGAGUCUGAACCAGCCAAGUAGCGUGAAGGAUGACUGCCCUAUGGGUUGUAAACUUCUUUUAUAUGGGAAUAAAAUGUUCCACGUGUGGGAUUUUGUAUGUACCAUAUGAAUAAGGAUCGGCUAACUCCGUGCCAGCAGCCGCGGUAAUACGGAGGAUCCGAGCGUUAUCCGGAUUUAUUGGGUUUAAAGGGAGCGUAGGUGGAUUGUUAAGUCAGUUGUGAAAGUUUGCGGCUCAACCGUAAAAUUGCAGUUGAAACGGGCAGGCUUGAGUACAGUAGAGGUGGGCGGAAUUCGUGGUGUAGCGGUGAAAUGCUUAGAUAUCACGAAGAACUCCGAUUGCGAAGGCAGCUCACUGGACUGCAACUGACACUGAGGCUCGAAAGUGUGGGUAUCAAACAGGAUUAGAUACCCCAGUAGUC
rnacentral:rRNA from 1 species